UCUUCGACCACUGACCAAACUCCACUUCAAGCAGUCCCGAGGACUGCUCUUCCCCUUGCCCACGGACCUGUUCUGCUCAGUCCUUGAAUCUCCCAGGAUCAUGCCGAAAAUUUUGCACUGGAGCACAGCACUGGUACUUGCACAAAGUGGAUUUUGCACUUAAUGUCAGCAGCUUCCUUUCUGGGAAGAACCUCGGGAGUAACCAGGAGUGUGUGGAGUGCCUGAAUAACCUGUUGUGUCCCCAAUGUCCUCAAUCACCAGAGCCCAGCAAGGGGUGAGUGAGAACCAGGCAACACUCAGGAACUCCAUGUCCACAGCAGCUGCACGCCCACCACACACCCUCCUGUGUGACACAACCCUCCUGCUCACUGCCAGAGAAACAAAAGCACAGCAAAAAGCAAGGUAUGGGAACAUGGGAGCCUUCUACAUGCAAGGUUUGUUGCAUGGGGACCAGCAAGGGCAGGGGAUCCCACGUCCCUACAGUUCCAGAAACCCGUGGCCAGGACACUGCAGGACACCUGCCUGGCUCCCAGCUCACAAACAUGGGAAACUGCUAUCAGCCUGUGAGUAUUCCACCCAGGUCUGCAACACUGGAUAACACUAUUGUUUGUCCCUUCACAUUCCUGCAAGUCCCAGUGCCAUUGGCCUCUUGUAUCAUAAAGAAAUUAAAAUAUAUUAUGACCAUAAACUA